AUUGAACGCUGGCGGAACGCUUUACACAUGCAAGUCGAACGAUGAAGUCUAGCUUGCUAGACGGAUUAGUGGCGAACGGGCGAGUAAUAUAUCGGAACGUAUCCAUCAAUGGGGGAUAACUAGUCGAAAGAUUGGCUAAUACCGCAUACGUCCUACGGGAGAAAGCUAGGGACCUUCGGGCCUGGCGUUAAUGGAGCGGCCGAUAUCUGAUUAGCUAGUUGGUGAGGUAAAGGCUCACCAAGGCGACGAUCAGUAGCUGGUCUGAGAGGACGACCAGCCACACUGGAACUGAGACACCGUCGAGACUCCUACGGGAGGCAGCAGUGGGGAAUUUUGGACAAUGGGCGCAAGCCUGAUCCAGCCAUUCCGCGUGAGUGAAGAAGGCCUUCGGGUUGUAAAGCUCUUUCGCAAGGGAAGAAAACUUACCCUCUAACAUAGGGUGAGGAUGACGGUACCUUGAUAAGAAGCACCGGCUAACUACGUGCCAGCCGCCGCCGUAACAC
rnacentral:rRNA from 1 species